rnacentral:lncRNA from 1 species
AAGAAUGGUUGGCAUGGCUGCAUCUAGAAGCUUUGACAAGAAUGGUUGGCACAUGGCUUUGAAAAUUGAACACGGUUUUCACCCACCAAGCUUUGAUGAACACGGUUUUGAAGAAGAUUUUGAUACCCACGGCUUUGACUUUCUUGGCCAUCAUUUUGCUAUAAAUACAAGUGCAAAUGAAGAGCUUAUUCAUUCCAUUUUAGAGAGCAAUUUAGGGAGUUGAGAGAGAGUUUAAGAGCAUGCAUUUAUAAGCUCUUAUUACAGUGAUUGAGAGAGUUUGGGUGUAUUGGGAUUUUGGGUAGUGAGCUAAAAUACUACAAUACUUGUAACUCCUUUUCACUAGUAAAAUAUUUCCUUCUGUUUUCGCCCGUGGACGUAGGCUAAAAGUCGAACCACGUAAUUUCUGGUGUUCUCUUUUGUGCUUGUUAUUUUAUUUCCAAUUUCAUUUUAGCUGCGAUCCUGCUUCACCCAUCAAUUUCCUAACAGUGGUAUCAGAGCUAUUGGUUGUAUUUUUGGAGUCGGGAACUGUUCACGUAAGGGGUACUAUUCACGUAUACGGCACUGUACACGUAUACGGUACUGUUCACGUAUACGAUUUUGUUCACAUAGAUGGUACUAUUCAUGUAUACGGUACUAUUCACGUAUACGGUACUAUUCACGUGAAACGGUGGAAACGAUCCAAGAAUUUUGCGGUGCAAAGCAGGGAAUAGUGGUGUGAGUAAAGCAACUGUGUGAUUUUGUACAUGUCUAGGAAAGUUCUGUCACAAAAGCGACAAGAGCUUAAGGAGUUUGGGUUUUAAGUGGGACCAUUGUGACCCCUCCAGUCUUUCCUGGGAACUUUCCUAGUGUGCAUUCUCACACAUACUCACAACUAUUCAAGGUGGUACACUAACUUGUGUGCAAUAUUUAUCAACAAAAUGGCGGCAAAGUAUGAAAUUGAGAAGUUUAAUAGAAAUAAUUUUUCGUUGUGGAAAAUGAAGAUGAAAGCUGUAUUGAGACAAAAUAAUUGUUUGGCAGCAAUUGGAGAAAGGCCCAUGGAGAUAACUGAUGACAAGUGGAACGAGGUAGACGGCAACGCCAUUUCUGAUCUACACUUGGCACUUGUGGAUGGAGUAUUAUCCAGUGUGGCAGAGAAAAAUACAGCGAAGGAAAUAUGGGAUACUCUCACAAAAUUGUAUAAGGCCAAGUCACUACACAACAAAAUCUUGCGACGCUUCAACAUGCAAGAUUGUAAGUCAAUUUCUACCCCACUUCCUGUUAAUUUCAAAUUAUCCUCAAGUAUGUGUCCUAGUAAUGAAGCAGAGAGGAAGGAGAUGUCUCGAGUACCGUAUGCAUCAGCAGUGGGAAGUUUAAUGUUCGCUAUGAUAUGUACAAGACCGGACAUUGCACAAGCAGUGGGAGCAGUCAGUCGAUACAUGACGAAUCCUGGUGGAGAGCAUUGGAUAGCUGUGAAGAGGAUUCUGAGAUACAUCAGAGGAACCUCAGAUGUUGCAUUAUGUUAUGGAGGAUCAGAGUUUACUGUCAGGGGCUAUGUGGAUUCAGAUUUUGCAGGAGACCUUGAUAAAAGAAAAUCCACUACUGGUUAUGUGUUUACACUUGCGAGAGCAGCUGUAAGCUGGGUUUCGAAACUGCAGACCGUUGUGGCUUUAUCUACAACAGAAGCAGAGUACAUGGCAGCUACACAAGCUUGCAAGGAAGCUAUUUGGAUACAAAGGUUAUUGGAGGAGCUCGGGCACAAACAACAGAAAAUUCUUGUGUUUUGUGACAGUCAGAGUGCCUUGCACAUUGCAAGGAAUCCAGCCUUUCAUUCCAGGACAAAGCACAUAGGAGUCCAGUAUCACUUCGUUCGUGAAGUAGUGGAAGAUGGAAGUGUGGAUUUGCAGAAAAUCCAUACCAAAGAGAACCUAGCAGAUGUUUUGACCAAGCCGAUAAAUACUGAUAAGUUUGUCUGGAGUAGAUCCUCUUGUGGCCUAGCAGAAACGUAGGCAACAUGAUUAUGGCGAAGCAGAAAGGAUGGUGUGGAGAUUGAUUUUUUUCAAUUUAAUCUCCAAGUGGGAGAAUGUCAAAAUUGGCUACAUCUAGAAGUGUUGAAUAAACAAGAAUGGUUGGCAUGGCUGCAUCUAGAAGCUUUGACAAGAAUGGUUGGCACAUGGCUUUGAAAAUUGAACACGGUUUUCACCCACCAAGCUUUGAUGAACACGGUUUUGAAGAAGAUUUUGAUACCCACGGCUUUGACUUUCUUGGCCAUCAUUUUGCUAUAAAUACAAGUGCAAAUGAAGAGCUUAUUCAUUCCAUUUUAGAGAGCAAUUUAGGGAGUUGAGAGAGAGUUUAAGAGCAUGCAUUUAUAAGCUCUUAUUACAGUGAUUGAGAGAGUUUGGGUGUAUUGGGAUUUUAGGUAGUGAGCUAAAAUACUACAAUACUUGUAACUCCUUUUCACUAGUAAAAUAUUUCCUUCUGUUUUCGCCCGUGGACGUAGGCUAAAAGCCGAACCACGUAAUUUCUGGUGUUCUCUUUUGUGCUUGUUAUUUUAUUUCCAAUUUCAUUUUAGCCACGGUCCUACUUCACCCAUCAAUUUCCUAACACUUCUUUGAUGAUUUUAUUUCCUAGAGAAUGGAACUUUACUUGAAAUUCAUAAUGAAUUAAAUGCAAAUAGCUGCAAGUUGUUUUCCAAUAAAGGGAGUGUGUUGUUCAACUCUGUAAUCUCCAAUUGUCGUAUAUAUUGAAACAAGUUUAUUAUACACUUUCCAUGAGUUAUGAGUUUUCUUUUUUCUUUUUUAUUUUCUUUUUCAGUGGGUGUUGGAAGGAAUCAAAAUGAACAAAUGAUUGCUUUAAUUAAAAGACUUUUUAAGGUGUAUAUGUAUAGCUUCGUUCAAUGAAAUUUGUAUUUUU